rnacentral:lncRNA from 1 species
AAAAUGGCUUAUAAGAGAGGCUAGGGGACCCCUCCUCUCACUCACUGCUCUUUUCCCUCUCUCUCACACACACUUUCUCUCUCUCUCUCUCUCUUGAACGAAGGAAAAGAAGGAGAGGACUAAGGAGAGGAAGAAGAAGAAGGAAAAGAAGUAGAGAAGGUAGAAGGAGAAGACUAAGAAGAAGAAGAAGAAGAUCAUCUU